rnacentral:snoRNA from 1 species
UUGCGUGAUGAUUUCCUGAUAGGGACAGCUUAUGCCAAUGGCAUUUGAUGUGAACGGAAAGAGAAUUUUAGUAGAUGCCUCUGUAUUCUGAUU